AGUCCAUGGUGUGGGCAUUUCCUUAGCAUAGUCUUGAAAUGCUCCCACGCCUCGUAUAAGGACUCACCUUCGUAUUGUUUAAAGUUGACGAUUUCUCACCUCAGCU
rfam:Gossypium hirsutum cultivar TM-1 chromosome 16, whole genome shotgun sequence